AUUGAACGCUGGCGGCAGGCCUAACACAUGCAAGUAGAGCGAGCGGAGGACGGGUGAGUCAUGUAUGGGGAUAUGACCGAUAGAGGGGGCUCACUACUGGAAACUGUGGCUAAUACCGCAUACUAUCAGAUGAACCACUAUGGAAUUAGCUAGUAGGUGGGGUAAAGGCUCAACUAGGCGACGAUCUCUCGCUGGUCUGAGAGGAUGAUCAGCCAAACUGGGACUGAGACACGGCCCAGACUCCUACGGGAGGCAGCAGUGGGGAAUAUUGGACAAUGGGCGCAAGCCUGAUGCAGCAAUGGCGAGUGUAUGAAGAAGGCCUGAGGUUUGUAAAGUACUUUCAGCGGGGAGGCGUUACCCGCAGAAGAAGCACCGGCUAACUCCGUGCCAGCAGCCGCGGUAAUUC
rnacentral:rRNA from 1 species